AUUGAACGCUGGCGGUAGGCCUAACACAUGCAAGUCGAGCGGCAGAACGGUAAGUGCUUGUGCAUACGGCGGGGGAGGGGCGGGUGGGGGAUAGGAACAUCGCAAUCUACUGGUUAUAACGGGCUAACGUAGGGGCAAUUACCGCAAUACCGCUGACGGCCUACGGGGGAAAGCAUGGGACCUUCCGACCUUGCGCGAUCCAAUGAGGCUAUGUCGGAUUAGCUAGUUGGUGGGGUAAAGGCCCACCAAGGCGACGAUCCGUAGCUGGUCUGAGAGGAUGAUCAGUCACACUGGAACUGAGACACGGUCCAGACUCCUACGGGAGGCAGCAGUGGGGAAUAUUGGACAAUGGGCGAAAGCCUGAUCCAGCCAUGCCGCGUGGGUGAAGAAGGUCUUCGGAUUGUAAAGCACUUUAAGUUGGGAGGAAGGGCAGUAAGUUAAUACCUUGCUGUUUUGACGUUACCAACAGAAUAAGCACCGGCUAACUUCGUG
rnacentral:rRNA from 1 species